rnacentral:lncRNA from 1 species
AGUUGGUCCAACACCGUCCACUACAGAUCCUACAGUUAGUACAACACCGAACAUUACAGAUCCUACAGUUAGUACAACACCGAACACUACAGAUCCUACAGUUAGUACAACACCAAACACUACAGAUCCUACAGUUAGUACAACACCGAACAUUACAGAUCCUACAGUUAGUACAGCACCAAACACUACAGAUCCUACAGUUAGUACAACACCAAACACUACAGAUCCUACAGUUAGUACAGCACCAAACACUACAGAUCCUACAGGUAGUACAACACCGACCACACCAGGUACGUAUAGUAUUGGUAUAUUGGUUAUUUUAAUUUUUUAUAUGUAAUCUUUGACGCGUUCCAAACUAUCUUUGUAUUUUGCAAAAUAGAAUCCCCCCCCCCGGAAACUGCAUGAUUGGCCAAAUUUUGCAGACACCAGAAAAAAUUUCAUUCCAAGUAGCUGAAUUAUGCAGGC